GAUGAACGCUGGCGGCGUGCCUAAUACAUGCAAGUCGAGCGAACCACUUCGGUGGUGAGCGGCGAACGGGUGAGUAACACGUAGGUGAUCUGCCCAUCAGACGGGGACAACGAUUGGAAACGAUCGCUAAUACCGGAUAGGACGAAAGUUUAAAGGUGCUUCUGGCACCGCUGAUGGAUGAGCCUGCGGCGCAUUAGCUAGUUGGUAGGUAAAGGCCUACCAAGGCGACGAUGCGUAGCCGACCUGAGAGGGUGAACGGCCACACUGGGACUGAGACAGGCCCAGACUCCUACGGGAGGCAGCAGUAGGGAAUCUUCGGCAAUGGGC
rnacentral:rRNA from 1 species